CAACGAUACUGGCAAACCCGUCGAAAGUCGGGGACGCAAAGCCUCAGAUCUAACGCAUGACAAUGCUAAGAUGGCUGGGUUACCGAA
rnacentral:ncRNA from 1 species